GCCACCACCACCUAUGUCGCCUCCUUCUACACCCCCACCAAAUAUAGGAUCACCACCAAUUUUUACGACACCCCCACCUAAGUUACCUUCUAUCACACCACCAUUUACUCCUACACCACCAUCUUCGCCGCCACCGCCGCCACCACCACCACCUAUGUUUCCUCCUUCUAUACCCCCACCUAAGAUAGUAUCACCACCAAUUCUUAUGACACCCCCACCUAAGUUACCUUCUACCACACCACCACCACCUCCUUCCAUACCACGUAAUUGUCCCAUGGGAAACUUGCAUGUUUGUGCCAAUUUGUUGAAUAUAGUGAUUGGUCGUCCACAAAACCAACCUUGUUGUUCUCUUAUCAACGGUCUUGCCGAUUUUGAAGCAUCAGUUUGCCUUUGUGCUGCAAUAAAGACAAAUAGUAUACCGGGAGUAAUUCGUAUUAACCAUAGUAUUGCCUUGAACACACUCAUCAGCAGGUGUGGGCGCAAAAUGCCUAAUGGAUUCGCAUGCAGUUAAGAAUAUACAAUAUGUAUCGACAAUGGUUAUGCAUGCCAUCUAUCUUGGUCAUCUUAAAUAAUCUAUGUGUGCUUGGUGAUUGGUAGAAGCCUCUCACAUUCCUACCUUUUUUUUUUUUUUUUUAAUGUUUAUGUGUGAGCAAAAGUUGCUAAUAAAAAGUAAAAGUAUUGAUAAAGUUAAUAAAAUAUUUUAGUGUUAUUGCUUAUGUUUUGGUGUUUCUUUUCUCUCGUUCAUAUGAUCUUAAUUAUGUCACAAAACCAAACAAAAAUAGUAGAAAUAACAAACUCAUUGAUCAUUUCAGGAACUUAGCUGAAAAUUUUGAUGUACAUCAAACUGAAACUGAUAUGGUUUAAUAAAUUCGACCACAAGUUUAAUCUCCAUUAUACCUUGCCUGAAGAAAAGUUCAUCAUAUCCAUCAGAGUCAAGAAUUUGUGUAGAUUGUAUAAGUAACACUUGGUGACAAAUGAGAAAGCAACUUUCUAUUUGCAAAAGCUUCAAUGCAAGAUGAUAGGGAAGCUUAAGAUAUUUGACGAUAAUAGGUAGAGUAAGGAGAUUUGUAGUAGUACAAUUAUCAACUAUUUCCACAUGCAAACCUAUACUCAUAGAAAAUUUAAAAAAUCUAACUAUUUUAAAAACAAGACUAAGAGUUCAAAUUAGAGAACAAAUGUUUCUUAGGAAUCCCAACACAUUCUUCAAAAUUAUAAAAAGCACAACAACACAUUUAUCAAGAAAUUCAUUCAAGUCUUAACUCAUAUAAUUCCCAAAUCAAGUUUAGAAGAAUAAUACGUAUUAAACAUUUAAUGCUUCAUAACACUCAAGGUUUAUGAAAAUAGAGAAUUGCUGUUUUGACAUCCAUUGUUUCUUAGAAACAUGUGGAAAUGACCAAAAAAAACUCCGGCGGUAGUUAACUACUGCUGACUUAUAUUAGGAAAAUCGGCGGUAGUUAACUACCGCUGAGUUUUUGGUCAUUUUCAUAUAUUUUUAGGAAGCUAUUGUUGUGAGAACAGCAACUCUCAUGAAAAUAACACAAGUUAAAUAUUUCAAGAUGAAAAUUUGCAAACCUAGCAAGCAUAGGAGGUAGAAACUUCUCAAGCAAUUUAACAAAUGUAUGAAUUAAAGUAUUAGAAGGAUCUGAGUUGCAAGAGGAAUCUUUGACCAAUCACCUCAUUCUCUUGUUUAAAGAGGUUUUCAAUUUUGCCCUCGUCUAUCUCUUUACUUUCAAAGUCAGUGUUUUGCAAGAAUUUUUCCUUUAAUCACUUCUUCAAGCUCUUGCACCAGAGAAUCAUAAAUACUAGACAAAGACUUAAGAGUUAAAAAAGGAAAAGAAAUAGCUCCGAUUUUCCCUCUCAUUCAUAUGUUUUUCCUCUUUUUUUCCUUCUCUUUCUUUUCAAAGACAUUCUAAAAAUUUUCUUUCACCAUUUCCUUUCAUUUUGAUAGCUUCUCUACUUUUCUCGCCACUUUUGUGUGCAAAUUUUCUUUAAGAUAUUUCACAUAGUUCGAGUCUAAUGCAAAAUUUCUAACACACCUCUCAUAUGAUAUAUCUCUUCUCUAUUUCUCUGUAUUCUCCUUGUAUUAAUUAUUUGUGUCUUUUUUCUUUUGGAUUAUCCCUAAAUUUCUCUCUUUUUCACACAUUAUAUUCUUUCUUUCAUCAUUUCUAAGUAUUCUUUCCUUUCAUAUCUCCUUUUACUCCUCAUCAUAAUCUCUAGCACCAAAACUCUCCAUGAUGCUAAUAAAAUGACCUUUCCGCUCAAUUAAGCGCUUACGUACGUUCUUGAGUUUGUCACUCGUGUUUCACAAAAUUUAGAAUUUUUCUAUAAUGUGCACUCUUGCUUUUUCCGCUCAAACUCUUCUUUCUAGUUCUUAAAAUGAACUCAAUCAAGAAUCAUAGCACAAGCAUAGAGGUUCCUGGUCCUUCUGCUAUAGAUCAGCCCAAUGCUACUUCUGUGUCAUUUGGGGAUGUUAUGGACCCUAUUUUUGAUGAGACCACUAUAUUGCAGCCUAUCAUUUCACCUAUCACCACUAAUGAUGAGAUAUUAGGGCAAGACAAGAAAAAGGUGCAAAUUACUGCUGGUCCUAAAAAUAAAUCAGCUGCAUGUUUGGGAGAUGGUAAAGUCUUGAGCAAGUUAUGGGGUGAUGAAGAAAUUGAUGCUUCUGACAGCACAGUUGAUCCAGAAACUGACACUGAAGUGAAUAAAGCCAAGUUUCCAUAUGCUGCUAGCAGAAAAAGCACAAAUUUAGGAGGAAGCAGUUCACUCAAUGAGUCAUUCACUCCAUAUGUUUCAAAUAAACAGAAGAAGAAAAACAAACUGCAGAGUCCUAGAGGAUCGGAAAAUAAGUGCAUUCACACUCGUGCUAAGAGUGGCAUUUCAAAAGCAUAUAAAUCAUGAUGUGUAUGGCUUGAUCUUGGCUUUAGUUUGUUCUUUGUUGCUUUGCUUUUAUUGUAACCUGUUACUAUCCUCAGUUUUUCAUCUCAUCACUCCUUAGAAGUGGUUUAAGGCUACUUAGGAAGUGACUUUGCUUUUCUGUCUUGAUUGUCUUUUUGGGUAUUGGCUUAGUCCCCCCAAUAUUGUACUUUUCCCUUUAUUCUUUUAUUGCAUUUUUCUAGCUUUAUCAAAAAAAAAAAAAAACUCAAUCAAGAAUCCAAACACACUUAGUUCAACAAAUCCACAAAAGCUAUUAACACGAAUUUAAAGAGGAAAACUCUAAGACAAAACAAGAAAGAAUGGAACUAAAUAAACAAAUGAUAGAAAUAUAGUGGAGGUACGGUACUAAAUUCAAACUUUCAAUGGUUUAUACAUGUAAAAAUGAUGGGUUUGUCUAACAUGUGCAAUAGUACACAUGUUAAAUUAACUAAAAGUAGUAACUAUUUAUUGAAAAACAACAACUAUUUGUAAAAAAGCUACAUAUUUAAUAUAAAAUGAACAAGUUCCAAGACAAAAUUACUAUUUUAAACUUCUUAACAUGUGAAAAUUUGCACAUGAUAGAAAAACCCAAAAAUGAACCACUUUUUAUUAAGGCUUAAUUGCACUUUUGAUCCUCGCAUUUUGACAUGCUCACGAAAUUGGUUCUGCCUUUUUUAAAUCCAACAAAACCCCCUAUUUUGCAGUUUUAGGCAUACCCCCUAUUUUCACCUCCAAACACACUGAUGUGUCAAAAUUUUAACUGAUGUGGCCAAAAGAACACCUAUGUGACAAUGCAUAUUUGAAAAAUGUCAUUUAUAAAUUCAUCAAAUUAAUGUUAUCAAUAUGGAAAAUCAUUUUAACGUUUUCAGAAAUUACACUGAAUUAAAAAUUGAAAAUAUAUAAGUGGUAAACAAAGAUAGAAGCCAUAGUUUCCCAAAAUUUCCAAAUCAAUUUUGCUUUCCUUCCCAAAUACCAACGCAAAAAUGAAAAUUCUUCUUCCUUGCUUCCAUCUAACAAGUUCACUUGAAAAUUACAACAAACAACUCAAGAUUUCAAUUGAACAAGACCACAUAAACAAGAACACAAAACACAUAAAUAAGAACACCUAAACAUUUUCAACACUUAUAAUUCCUUCAAGCCUUCAUAUGUAGCUACUCAUAACUAAACAAUCAAAUACAUAGAAAAUAAUGAACAUACAUAAACCAGAAUCAACUAGGAGUUUGGUGAGAUCCAACGCGUGUUCUUCAACUUCCUGGUGUCGUCUAUGCUCUGUUUAGGUCUCCAAAAUCGCACCCCAAGCUUCUGGCUUUUAUAGACACAAAAUUAGGGUUUCAGAAAGCCCACCAUCGUGCCACGUUUCGAGACCAUCGUGGAACGAUUUGCUCAUUAAUCCUACGUGGCCGCAAAUAUACUCAACCAUCGUGGCACUUUACACAUCCAUCGUGCCACGAUUUUUCCAGCAUCUUCAGUUAAAUUCCACGCUUCAAACGUGCCAUGAUUCAGGUCUAUCGUGGCACGGUUUCUCAAGUAGCUAAAUUCUUGCAUUCUUCUCCAAUUUGUGCAAAACUUCUAUUUUAUGAAUCUUAAGCUGAUUUAACCAUGUAUACAAGCAUUUGAAUCUCAAAACAUUACAAAAACGACACAAAUAUGACUAAAAAACUAGUGUUGACGUACUGUCAUUAGUACAUAGGCUGCAAGCCAUCCGAGGCUAAUGUAGAGUCGGUCUGGCCGAGUUUAUAUCCAACUCUGCUCUCAUCCGACACUACUCUAUUCAACUUUUUAAAAGUCAAUAAUUUCUAGUAUGAUAGGAGUGGCCGACUCUAAAGGCAAGUAAAAUAUGCAGCGUGCAUUUGCCGACAUUAAGGUCAAAUUAAUAAUGUAGAGUCAGUUUAUUUGAGGCUAAUGUCAACAUUUGAAAAGUCAGCGUAGUAAUAUAGCGUCGGUUGGAUCGACAUUACUCUACAAUUUUUUUAUUUUUAUUUUUAUUUUUUUACAAUUGAACAUGCACCUAAUAACCCUAUUUUGCACCUAAUACUAAGAAACCAAAAUAAGACAUCAAAUAAGCCACAAAAUGUCAUAAUGCAUUGACAUAACAAACACUUCCACAAUAACGGAAAUAAGCCUAAUAACUACAAAGUAACAAAGUUACAACUAUAAGAUGAUGCCUUAAAAAAUUCAAAGCAUUAAGAUAACAAAGCCAUUCUAAUACGUAACAACAACGAAAUGACUACAAUAUCAAGAACCGUUGUGCAAUGACUAAUCAUCCAAAUAUUGACCAUAAUGAGGAUGUGAAGGAGGAUGAGUAGCACUACAUGAUCCUUCACUUGAACGAUGCUCCAUAGCUCAACGAUGCUCCAUAAAUAAUGUCCUUAAUUCAAUAUUAUCAUUCUCCACCUUCUUGGAGUGCUCCCUAGGCUGUCCACAACCACAAUAUUGUAGCUAAUUACUAACCCGACCACGGUGAGUCACCAAGACUCAAUGUUGCUAGUCAACUAAAAAAGGGACAUGAACAUUAAAAAUUUGUUGAUUUUUAUCUAUAAUACAGUCUAAACACAUGAUCAGAUGUAUUGUAACAAUAAAUUUUUACAUUUUGUUAUUAUUUUAGUUACCUUCAACCAAAACGUGUUGUCUUUUUUUAGUUUUCUAUUGUACAUAUAUAUGUAACUUGUAAUUUUUACAUGACAUCAUUCAUGCAAUCAAACAUAUCAUAAGAAAGGGGUCCCAAAAUAAUAUAUCUUAAGUUCAUGCAUCAUUAAACCUUAUAAUAAUUUCUGCAAACCUUUUAGAAGAAAAGAAAACUUAAUGGUUUACCAUUGAAUAGCUAAAACAUUUCUAAAUAAAAAUCCUAAAAUAAUUAAAAAGCAACAUUUACAAAAAACAUAGGUACAAAAACAUGUAGAAAAACAUAACAGUGAUAUACCUUGCUGGUAUAAGAUGAAAAAUCAUGAGAUUGUUGAUCAACCCAACUAAGGCUGGAAAUGAGUCGAGUCGAACUCGUCUAAACUCGACAAGGAUUAUCUCGGCUCAAAACUCGACUCGAGUUUAAUACGAACUUUUUUUUCAAACUCGAGUCACUACUAGAAUUCUUCGUUAUACCUGUGGAAUAUAAAUAACCAAUAUUUGGACUGUUCCACUAGAACAUUAUUAACUGAAACCGAAACAAUAUAAAUAACCUUGUUAGUUUUUAACUGAUCUUUUUGUCAAGUCAGUAGUCUGCUUGAGAAAUCUUGCCUCUUUUUUUUGAAGAAGCUAAACUAACCCCUCAAAUAGAAAUCCUGCCUCUUGUCUAUGUUAGUUUAUGUUUUUGGUAUUACAUCAAAUAUUAAUACUCUAUUUUUCAAUUCAGCUCUUAAUGUCAUAUAUCAAUCAUGGCUCUUUUUUCUUUACCCUGGACGAGGUUGUUAACACCGUUCCUCCACCGCUUCAUCACCAUUCCACCACCUCUCCAUCAGCAUUCCACCACCGAAAAGCUUCAAACUAAUCUUCACUCAAAUCGAAGUUGUACGAAAAGCUCAAAGUUAUGUUUGCUCAGAUCGAAGUUCUUGAAAAAGCUUGAAGUUGCGUUCUCAUAGUACUUGUUCAAGCUCGUGGUCUUUUAAGCUCUCAUUUGUUGUCUCUUACUCUCUGAUUUGCGAGAUGUGAUCUUUUUCUUCAGUUUAAUUGGGUGAGUACUUUUAUUUCACUUUGAAAAUCUCAUAAUAGUUUUGUUUUGUAAUCUUUGACCAUAUCAUCAUUUUGUUUUUAGCAUAUAAUUCCUCCUUUAUGUACAUUUUAAUGAUUAUGAAUUUGAAUGUUUGUUUUAGAUUCAGAUUCUAUCAAGUUUAAUUAACCAUUUUGCUCAUAUGCUUUAAUUCAUUUGUUUAUAGUCAACCUGUUCAUAUCAAAUAUUCUUUGUUGAUAUCUGAGUGAUGUAUCUGUGAUAGCUUUGCGGCUAAUAUGCUUUAAUUCAUUUGUUAUACUCAACCUGUUCAUAUAAAAUGUAGUGUCCUUAACUUUGGUGGACUCAUAAAAAUAAAGUUAAAUUGUUUUCUUAUAAGCUAUAAGUUGUUUUCAUGAGCAAUCUUGAUGGACUCAUAAAAAUAAGCUAAAAUCAUAAUUAAUUAAUUAGGAUUUAGGUUCUGCUUGGAUCAAAAACUUAUUUGAAGCUUAUAAUGUAAGUGCUUAUCACUAUUAUAAGCUAUUUAUAUCGCAACUUAAAUUGUUUUUGAUAGGUUGUUUUCUAUACUUCUAAAUAGUAUUCACAUGGCAGAAUAUGAAAUAUAGUUAUCUUAUAUAAGUGAAUAUUUCUCAUGGUAUUUUUUGUGUUUGACCAAUCAUAUGGUUUUGUAGAUUGAGUCAAAGUUGAAGGAGGCAACUGCAAGGCUUGAGAAACAAUUGGCAGAAGAGCAAGCUGCAAGACUAAGAGCAGAAGACAGUGCAAAAUUACAUUUUGGUUUCUCUUCCAAAACAUGAAUUAUGUUCCCUACUGUAACUGGAGUGUUUUGUCAUAUUUUAUUGUUUGUUAUGCAUAUUUUGCACCUUCAUAUUGAGAGAGACUUGAUGUAUUUUAUGACUAAUGUUUUUGUUACAAUGAAUAAGUUUUUAUUGCCAUGGUUUUUUUUUUGAGUGGAUGCUAUUUUUGGAUCUUUUACCACUUAUAUGUUUUUUAAAAUUUUUGACUCAAGAUAGUUUAUAAUAAACUUCUUUAUCAAACAAAUAAUUAAAAAUGACUUCUAUUAUGGAUUUUGGUUAUCAUUAAUAGAAAAUUAACAAAUACUUUUCUGAUCUAGUAACUUUCCUGCUGAUUUUUUGCGGAUUGGUUUCGUUUCCUGAGGAUUUACCUGCGGAAACAGAUUUGUUGCGGAAUUAUCUGUGAAAAUUUCUUGGGAAUUACCUGCGGAAUUAUCUGUGAAAAUUUCUUGGGAAUUACCUGCGGAAUUUUCGCAGGAAACAUCAACGGGCAGAGAACUUCUCCACUCUGACCAAACUUUUCCUGCGGAUUUUUGUCACGUUUCCUUACGCAAUUUCCGCAGGUAAGUUUCCUGCAGUUCUUCAAAUCCUCAUGAAACAAUUACCAACGAAGGUAUUACCUGGAUACCUUAAUCCUUGGCAAAAUUCGCAGAAAACAGGUUUUCUGUGGAAUUUUCAGUUUAAUCCACAUGAAAUUCCGCAGGAAAAUCGAGAGUUUCUUUGGCUUAUUUAAAUUUCACGAAUCGCUCAACUCAACUCGUUGUAUAUUAUGCAUUGUCCUUACCAACUGAGCUAUGCUCACGAGGAUUUCAACUCGUUUAUUUGUAGGGUUUGCAAGUUUUUUUUUUAUAAGGCCAGACCUCUAGAGCAUAAAAACAACAAGAAAGAGACUAGGUGAAUAUAUCAGCUAUACUCUAAUCUUGUGUCUAGUGCUCAUAUAUAUUAUUAAAAAAGUUUGUUAAAAAAAAAAUAUUAUUAAAAAAGUACAGAAAAAACUGGAGGGACAUAGACCUAACCCAGUAAAACACACAAAUGUGUAGGACAACCCGAACGGACACUACAAGCAUUUUAGACCACACAUAUAUGAUGCCUCUAAUGAUUAAUCCUAAUUAAACAAAGGUCAGCUAUCUGGUGUAUGAACCAACCGUCAACACAAAAUAGUCCAAGAACCAAGAACUCCCUGCAACGAGGCAACGGGCAACACAGACUCAUUCGGGUUCAAUUAGUCCAAUGACAAUCAUAAGAAUGACAAGGAUUCCAAAGCAAUCUGAAGUCAGCCACAACGUCUGCCACAAAUAUUCAAAUAGCAUCGACGCGUCACCUUAUCUCUGAAACCUGCAGAACUCAACAACUCUGGAUCAUAAUCAGCAAAAUCAGAGACAUGACCACAUGUAUGACACCAAAGCAACAAAGACAGACCUGACUAUAAUCAAACCAAACUUUUUUGAAGAAUAGUGUAUGAAUCCACUGCCAACACAGUAGGAUUCAGGAAUCAAUAGCUCCUGCAAUAACACAGCAGCUGUACCAGCCCUUUCGAGCCCAAAACCAUCUGAAACCUCCGACAUAAGGAGCUGCCGAAGGACAUACCAUAUCUGAAAUCUAACUGGAUCUGAGAACAGAACCCUAAGUGGUGCGUUUUGUUUUGUUUUUUAUCUUAUUUUAUAAUUGUUAAAUUGUAUUUUUAAAAUUAAUCUAUUAAUUGUUAAUCGAGCCAGUUCGUGAACCUAACGAGUUAAACUAUAUAUAUAGCUCAAGUUCAACUCAUUUAGUUGCCGGACUUAAUUUUAGUUCACGUUCUUCUCAUUUGGUUCAUGAACCAAACUUAACGAAUCAAUUGUCGAAUCGAAUCUCGAACUUUGUUCGACUUGGCUCGGUUCAUUGUAAACCCUAAGUACUCAGGAAGCUUAUCCUCAUAUAAACAAGUUACUUAUCCUAUGAUAAAGCUUUCCUUAAAAAACAGUCUAGUUUAAAUAAAGAGACAUGUCAAAAGGUACGAGGUAACAUGCUAUACAAGUUAUGAUUCAGAAUGUUAUAAUUCAUAACAAUUGAAGAGAAAAUUCUCUCCAAUUUGAUGGAAGUCAUUCAACUGGUUUAACUUGGGAAAGGCGAAGACCGUUGGAUAUGUGAAUCCAAUUUGAAAGGUAUUGUUUCGGUUGAUUCAGUGUAUCAAUUCAUCUCCAAUAAAUAUUUUUUGACUUCAUGAAUGGGGGACGAAAGAUGAAAGCUCCUAGGAAGACUUUCGGAGAGUUACAAGCCCUCAAAGGUUAUAGUUUUUCCAUGGAUUGCUACGUCGAAGGCUCCCCACGAGAGUAAACUUAGCCAAACGGGGUAUGUUUGUUGGGGGUGGUGAGUUCAGUUGCAAAAGGUGCUCGGAUGCGGCAGAGUUGAAAUACCAUUUGUUUGGCACUUGUGAGUUCACAAGUAGAGUUUGGUAUGAAAUCUUCUGGUGGCUUGGUGUUUCAAUGGUGUACCGGGAAAUGUUUUUACUCUCUUGAGAAGUUGUUGCAUUUUUGUCCUUCACAAGAUCUCAAAAGGAUUGUUAUGGAUUUGGCAUACAACCCUGUGAUCAAUUUGAAAGAGUUGGAGUAUAGGAUACUAUUUUCGAAGAGCUGGAGUAUCUUUUUAUACUUCUUUUCUAUUUUGUCGCUAUGGCUACCCCAAAGAGAAUUUUUUUAUUGAUUAAGUAGGUAUAUUUUUAUAUUUAGCUACCGUUAAUAAUAUAUAAUUGGCUACCCAAAUUUGAUUUUAGAUAAAUCAAUUUUUUUGAUUUUAGAUAAAACAAUUUUUUGUUUGAUUUUAUUUACUUUUUUUAUUGAACUUUAGAUUAUUUGAUCCUGUCUCCUAAAAACCAGAGUUUUAACACCCUGAAAUAAUAAUAUUAUUUGAUUUAACAAAGAAAAUAUGAGAACAACAAAAAUCCAUUACUUUUUUUUUUUUAAAAGAAACAAAACUCUAUUACUAUUUGUCCAAAUAGUUUUUAUAUAGACCACCCCACCCCACCCCAUUUUCUUAGUUUUUUAAUUAUUAGUAUAUUGGGAAAAAGAAAAGAAAUGCUUUAUUAACCCUUUAUUGUAAGAAAAAAGUUUAACCCUUUAUGAACCCUUGGCUUCUUUUUUUUUCUUUUUAUGGCUAAAAAAAUAAGUAAUUAUAACCCUUUAUAACCAAUUCUUAUAUAAGUAUUUUUUGCUUAUUGGUAAAAUUUACUAUUAAUUUUCAAAAAGAUCUUGUUUUGCUUUAUACGUGGCCACCUUAAAAUUUUUUUGCUAACAUCGCUGCUGAAAUCAAUAACAUUUUUUAUGAAAGGACAAACAAAACAACAACAAAUUAGUUAAUUUUAGAGUAUGCUAUACUUCUUCUAUUUCUUGCAUGCGGCCUAACUACUAUGCCCAAAAAAAACUUGGUUUGUUGUUUUCCUUCUUCCUCUUCUUCUUUACAAGUGAAUCAAUUAUCUUUUGUAUAAUAAUUAAGUUCCUUCAAAUUUGUCACAUAUAAGAAUUGUAGGAUACUCCUCUUCAAAGUUUCAGGUUUGAUUCUCCUAAUUGAGUGGUUAAUUUAGCUUUUCCAUAAAAAAGAAUUGUAACCUAGCCACCAGAUUGCCCUAAUUUGCUCAAGUAAAAAAUUUAUAACUUAAUUUGGCGACAUUUUGACAAAGGAUAAUGUAAAAAUUAAUGAUCAAUAUGUCCACAUUAUUGCUCCAAGGCUUUUCAACAGAGAUAAUUCAUUUCCCUUCCUAGGAGUUGCUAACACCUAAUGAUUUUGUUGAUUCAUUCCAUUGGAUCUACUUUCCACAAUAUUUAGGGCUGCAAUCACCAUUUUGAAACACCUGGAAUAUCCUUAGCUUCUUUUUAAUUUUUGCUUAUAAAAGCGAGAACAUGUUUUUUUUUUUUAAAGGACAAACAAUACAACAUCAACUCGGUUAAGUUUGGAGUAUCCUUGUACUAUUUCUAUACUUGCAUGUGGCUUAACUAGUAUGCAAAAAACUCGGUUAAGUGAAAUAAUUAUCUUAUGCAUUGCCUUUGAGUCCCUUCAAGUUAAACACAUACAAGACUUCCAGCGUACAGACACAGCUCCAUUUUGCUCAAAAAGUCAAAACCACAUAAUUUAAUUAGGCAAAAUGAAUUGAUAGAUAUAGAUAGUUAGUUAUGAAUUAAUUAAUUGCCUAAUUAGUUCAUCAAUUCACAAGAUCCAUUUAGAAAGAAAAAUAAAAAUCCCACCUAUAAAUAUUGCACCUUACCUCUCAUUAUUCAUCAACCACACACAAUUAAUUGUUGAAAUAAAAAAUUUCAACAUUAUUUACAAAAUGGGUUUAAAGGGUGUAGGAUCCAUUUUCAUUCUCUUCCUUCAUCUCAUUUUUGUCUCUACUCUUGUCUCUGCCAAAUCAGCUCCUAGGAGGCCACCACCACCACCACAAGUGACAUGUUCUUCCACACCACCACCUGUGGUCGCUCCUUCAACACCCCCUUCCACACCACCAAUUACGGUAGCUCCUUCGACAUCACCAGUUGCGGUUGAUCCAACGACACUACCACCUUCAACACCUCCAUCCACACCACCUACUUCUACACCACCAAAUGUGGUAGCUCCCUCCACACCACCUCCUUCGACACCUCCUUUCACUACACCACCUACGGUCGCUCCUUCCACACCACCACUUGUUCAUGCUCCAUCAACACCACCGCCUUCAACACCUCCUUCCACGCCACCAACCGCGAUAGCUCCUUCGACACCACAAGUUGUGAUUGAUCCUACAACACUACCACCUUCAACAACUCAUUCCACACCACCAUCUGUUGAUGCUCCUUCAUCACCCCCUUCUACACCACCAACUACGGUAGCUCCUUCGACACCACCAUCUUUGGUUGAUCCUACGACACCACCACCUUCAACACCUCCUUCAACACCACCACCCGUUCAUGAUCCUUCAACACCCCCUUCCACACCACCAAUUGCGGUAGCUCCUUCGACACCACCAUCCGUGGUUAAUCCUACGAUACCACCACCUUCAACACCUCCUACCACACCACCACCAAAUCCUAGGACACCUCCUACAAAUCCUAGGACACCUCCUACAAAUCCUAGGACACCUCCUACCACACCACCACCAAAUCCUAGGACACCUCCUACCACACCACCAACAAAUCCUAGGACACCUCCGAAAAAUCCUAUGACACCUCCUACCAUACCACCACCAAAUCCUAGGACACCUCCUACCACACUACCACCAAAUCCUAGGACACCUCCUACCACACCACCAGCAAACCCUAGGACACCUCCUACCAGACCACCGACAAACCCCAGAACACCUCCUACCACAUCACCACCAAAUCCUAGGACACCUCCGACAAAUCCUAUGACACCUCCUACCACACCACCAGCAAACCCUAGGACACCUCCUACCACACCACCGACAAACCCGAGGACACCUCCUACCACACCACCGACAAAUCCCAGGACACCUCCUACCACACCACCACCAAAUCCUAGGACACCUCCGACAAAUCCUAUGAAACCUCCUACCACACCACCACCAAAUCCUAUGACACCUCCUUCGACACCACCACCAAAUCCUAGGACACCUCCUACCACACCAUCACCAAAUCCUAGGACACCUCCUACAAAUCCUACCACACCACCAACAAACCCUAGGACACCUCCUACCACACCACCGACAAAUCCUAGGACACCUCCUACCAUACCACCACCAAUUCCUAGGACACCUCCUACCACACCACCACCAAAUCCUAGGACACCACCGACAAAUCCUAGGACACCUCCUACCACACCACCACCAAAUCCUAGGACACCUCCUUCGACACCACCACCAAUUCCUAGGACACCUCCUUUUACACCACCACCAAUUCCUAGGACUCCUCCUACUACACCACCAUCAAUUCCAACAACACCGCCGCGUAAUUGUCCACUUUUAAGCUUGAAUGUUUGUGCCAACCUAUUGAAUAAAUUCGUGAUUAACCCAGGAUCCAAUCCUU
rnacentral:lncRNA from 1 species